rnacentral:rRNA from 1 species
UACAGAGGGGCAAGCGUUAUUCGGAAUUAUUGGGCGUAAAGGGCGCGUAGGCGGCUUGGCAAGUGGAAGGUGAAAUCCCUCGGCUUAACCGAGGAACUGCCCUCCAAACUGCUUCGCUUGAGACCGGGAGAGGUGAGUGGAAUUCCCAGUGUAGCGGUGAAAUGCGUAGAUAUUGGGAGGAACACCAGUGGCGAAGGCGGCUCACUGGACCGGUACUGACGCUGAUGCGCGAAAGCGUGGGGAGCGAACAGG